rnacentral:tRNA from 1 species
GCCGCUAUCGUCUAACGGUUAGGACAUGGGGUUCUCAAUCCCGUAAUCGGAGUUCGAUUCUCCGUAGCGGUACCA